AUAAAUACCUGCCAGGGAAGACACCAUGAUCAGGCAAGUGGUUUUCCCAGGGUGAGGCUCAUCCCCUCCACUCCGGGUGUGCUGACCUCUGCCAAUUAUUUUUGGGGUGGGUCUGUUCAACC